CCACGCUCCAAUUAUUUAUUAUUUGUGAAUUAGAUUUCUACGCAACUCGACACAUCCAACGGUUACAAAUCACUCCACUCCAGAUUUUGGCCGUUUCUUUUCCUGUUUAAAAUCUAGAGGCAUUUCUUUUUUUCUCUAAAUCGGCUUCUGGUUCUGGAAUCUCGAUUCGAACCCUAACUCCCUCCAAACCCUCUUUCCGACUUCGUUCAUAUCAAUGGCACCAAAACGAUCUACUCCCCUGGAUGAUCCACCGGCUGCUUCUUCUGAAGAAGAAGAGGAAAGCUCCAGUGGAGAAGAAGAAGACGGAGAAGAGGAAGAGGGAUCUUCAUCUGAAGAAGAAGGAACUCAGGGAAAGCCGCAAAAACCCUCUUCUCAACCAGCGUCACAGAUACAAACUGCAAAACCAGUUCACAAGAAGCCUGAUUCCGAAUCCGAGUCUGAUGAGUCUGACUCUGAAUCCGACUCCGAUGCUGACCGACCUAAUCAUGCCCGUGACGCCACUGUCAAGCCCAUCGCUUCUAAGCCCAUGGAGGAGACUCCUACCAAAACCACGAAGCUUAGAUCUAAACCCUCGGCAUCAAGUUCAGCUACCGCGAAGUCAACGGCCGCGGUGAAAAGGGCCAGUGAGAGUGAUCGCGACCCAAAAGACUCUAAGCGGGGCAAGAAGAAGGAUUCGGAAUCUGAUGGAGUUGUUGAGAAGUCCGAGGAUACGAAGAAACAGCUGUUUCAGCGGCUCUGGAGCGAGGAUGAUGAGAUUGCGGUGUUAAAAGGCAUCAUUGAUUUCACUGAAAAGAAAGGAACUGACCCUUCGAAGGAUAUGACCUCGUUUCAUGAUUUCAUUAAGAAAUCGCUUCACUUUGAUGUCUCUUUAAGCCAGUUGAAGGAUAAGGUUUGGAGAUUAAAGAAGAAAUUUGAGAACCAUGUGAGCAAAGGGAAAAAGGGUGAAGAUAAGACAUUUUCGAAGGCUCAUGACCAGAAAUCCUUCGAUUUGUCAAAAAAGAUAUGGGGUAGUGAAGCAAUUAGUGGGGGAGGAGUUGAUUUGGGUGUUAAGUCUAAUGGCAAAGCAAAGAAGAAUGGCGGCAAUAAUCAGAGAAGCAAGAGUUUUGCUACAUUGAAGGCUGAACUGGGUUUGGACGUCGAGGAGACUGAGAAGGUUGAUAAGAUGGAGGUUGAGACUGAAAGCCAUUCUAGUCUGAAACAGAUUUUACAGUUUGAUAGGACUGUGAGUGUAGCAGGAAUGGAGGAGUGUGUGGUAAAGAGGGGACUGGAUAUGUUGGAGGGAGCGAAAAAGGCUGAGAUGGAAGAAAAAUGGAGGCAGUUGCAUGUUGCUGAAUUGGAGCUGUUUCUGAAGAGGAAUGAGUUGAUAAGGGAGCAGGCAAAGCUGAUGCUGGCUGCAUAUAAGACUGAGUAGGAUUAGGCUAUGGUUGCUAUUUGAUCAGUGACAAGGUAGCUACAUUAGUAUGCUAUGUGCUCUAGAGUCAAAUCAAGUUGGCUAAACUAUGUUCUGAAGUAAUGAGUCUUACUCUCGCUCUCCUUUAUCAAUGUUUGCGUUAUACCGAGCUCAGGAAUUUGCCAUUAUAGUUCUUUCUCUAUACGGUAGCUGAAGUAUAACCUAUCUUGAGAUUUGGCCACGUGUACACUUAAUGGGAAUGGGUAGACCUGAAUUAACGAGCCUUGUGGAUCACUAGGCAUGACCAACCUGUAUGAUAUAAGUUGUAUCCGUACAAUCCUACGUUAAUGGGCGUGAGUGACCGGACAGCCACUUUGUUUGCGCAUCAAAGCGGGGUAUGAUGUUCGAUACAAUAAGCUUAUUAAAUAUUAAAUGAGGUAAUUAUAAGUAAUAAAUGGAAAUGAGUUUGAUUUA